GAUCUCCUCCCCCCCUUUUUAAGAAACUGUGCCAGGGGACUAGAUCUGGACCCAUGCUUUUUGGUGCAUUUUUUCUGUGGGUUAAACACUUUUAAUAACAUUCUGGAGACCUCCCGGACAAACUCUAUCUCGCACUGGGACGAGCACACCGGAGCUCCUCUUUUUUGUAUCAGUGUCCCCACCAGGCACCAGGGCACCAGAGGCCAAAGACCAUCUCGCUGGAGCACAGCUGGUAAAACCUCACCGAACAAUCCAGCACCCCAGCUCGGCAAAGGACGGCCAGGAGCAGAUCAACCAGACCACUGUUGGACCUCCAUGAGACCUUCACCGACGCUGCCAGGAGCAGGUUGGGGAGUUCCCUCUCCACCAUCCCGGAAUUAUCCGACGAGGACGAAUUUCCACCACUGCCAGCCUCCAGUGUUGCCGGUGCCCGGACUGGCACGAUUGGACAAGAAGGAGCCCCGACCGCAUUAGCAGGAGGGUCAUCACACAUGAUGAGCGGCGUAAUAAAGGCUAAUGUAGCCCACAACACCGUAUCUGAGACCUCCUCUCAACAACUGCGCCCGGGGACUCCGCCUCCCGGU